AUACAUGUGUCCUUUUUUUAUUUUCUCUAAAGUAACCUAUAUCAUUCCCUCAACUCUCUUCUCUUAGCCUCACCCUCUCUCUUCUCGCCUCUUUAUCUCCCUCACAUCUAACCUCUCGGAUCUCUCUCCAAGUCUUCUCUUGCAGGUGGCUGGGGUAGGAGUCUCGACGGAAACGAAAAUGGCGACGGGGACGGGGCUCGACCGAAUAAUCAACACUCCAUCGUUCUGUAGACUGCUGCAACAAUCAACAGCUUCGCAUGUGCUCCAUUCAUCCUCUCGACCUCUCUCAACUCUCGUGGCAUGAUGCGGGAACUUAUGAUGUUCAUACCAAACCUGGAGGUCCCAAUGGCUCAAUCAGGAAUGAACAUGAAUUAGGCCAUGGAGCAAAUAGUGGCUUGAAAAUUUCCAUUAACUUAUGUGGUGAGCUUUUCCAAUCGAUCUAAUCUUUUUCAGAUGUAAAUUAUGCUUUUUAAUUUGUUACAGUAACCUUGUUAUUAUGAACACUUAGAAUCUUGUGCAACUGGGAUAUCUGACUGAAACUAAUCUAGAUUUCU